ACCUGGGUGGCUCAGUCGGUUGAGCGUCCGACUUCGGCUCAGGUCAUGAUCUCACAGUUCGUGGGUUCGAGCCCCGCCUUGGGCU
rnacentral:tRNA from 1 species